rnacentral:rRNA from 1 species
GUAAGGAAUAUUGGUCAAUGGGGGCAACCCUGAACCAGCCAUGCCGCGUGAAGGAUGAAGGCGUUAUGCGUUGUAAACUUCUUUUGUAUGGGAAGAAUGACAGGGAUUUAUCCUUGGAGAGACGGUACCAUACGAAUAAGCACCGGCUAACUUCGUGCCAGCAGCCGCGGUAAUACGAAGGGUGCAAGCGUUAAUCGGAAUUACUGGGCGUAAAGCGCGCGUAGGUGGUUUUGUAAGUUGGAGGUUAAAUCCCCGGGCUCAACCUGGGAACUGCCUCCAAAACUGCAUGACUAGAGUACGGUAGAGGGUAGUGGAAUUUCCUGUGUAGCGGUGAAAUGCGUAGAUAUAGGAAGGAACACCAGUGGCGAAGGCGACUACCUGGACUGAUACUGACACUGAGGUGCGAAAGCGUGGGGAGCAAACAGGAUUAGAAACCCUAGUAGUCC